rnacentral:rRNA from 1 species
CCUACGGGGCGCAGCAGGCGCGAAACCUCCGCAAUGCGAGCAAUCGCGACGGGGGGACCCCAAGUGCCACUCUUAACGGGGUGGCUUUUCUUAAGUGUAAAAAGCUUUUGGAAUAA